GGUGCAGUUUCUGUUGGGGAUGAUGACAGUUUUGGGGUAUAGAUAGUGGUGAUGGUUACACACAUUGUGAAAGUAGUUAACGCCGCUGCAUUGUACACUUAAAAAUGGUUAAAAUGAUUAAUGGUAUACUAUGUACAUUUUACGUCAAUAAUAAAAAAGACAAGCCUGGAAAGGGUCUCGGAGGCUGGAGGCCACCCUCCAGAAGGGAACUCUCUGUGAGCACCCAUGAGGUGCUGCUGCAGGCCGGGCUGCCCUGUGGCAGUGGUCUUCAAGAUGUUCAGAAAGGCGAGCGGGCGCAUUGAUCUGCAGUUGGCAUGAUCCUUAGGAAACAGAGCUGCUGUUCCCUGGGGAGGCCGGACUGUUCUCCAUGGGGAGGCACGCAUGUCUGAGUGGGUGGGCGACACCUGUUAAAACCUGACCCAGAACUGAGAACCCUCUGACUGCAUCUGAGCUGCAUUCAGAACUCCAGAGGGGCCACAUACCCAGCCUAGACGAGCCUCAAGGGAUGUCCUUCGAGCCCAGCUACUCCUGCAGGCUGGGGUCGGGGUGUAGAUACAGUUGCCUGGCCUGGCGUUCAUUUCCUGCCUGCCCAGGUCUCCCACCUGCCACUUCAUUUGAUGCAUUCAUUGAGACAGAGGGAGCCCAGCCCGCUGCAACGCUCAGCAGGUGUAAGACACACAGGUGGAAAUUAGGACACAAGAGAUCUAGUCACUGCCCCCAUGGAGCUCCCAGUCUUGUAGGGAAAACAUAAAAAAUAACACUCUCCUCUGACCAAGAAUGUCUAAUCCAGCUCUAGAGCACCCUUGAUGGUGACGGGACACACAGGGCGUAAAGGAGACAAUGUGUGCAGGUGAAUGUGGGACUUUCUAUAAGACCACUCCCCUGAACUGUUCAAAAUCAAUGUCAGGGAAAAAAAGGCUAGGAACUGUUCUAGAUUAUAAGAGGCUAAAGAGACACAACAACCAGAUACAAAAUGUGAACCUUGAUUGAAUCCCAGAUUGAAAAAAUGGGUGAUAAAAGGCAUGUUAGGACAAUC
rnacentral:lncRNA from 1 species